UGUGCCUCUUACCUAGAAAAGUGCUAUAUUUUGUAUAUUGUGAUAAAGCUUUAUGUCAAAUAUAAAGAGACUACUCCUAGUAGUUCCUGAUAAAACUGGAACUGAAAUUUUGUGACGCUGACAUGAACCAGUUCGUUAUCCCUAUGUCAAUUCUGGGAGAACAGUGGACAUAACAGUAAUGUUAAGUUUCCUCCUAGAAUGUAAUCUCUAGCAAUUUGAG
rnacentral:lncRNA from 1 species